UCUCAGGUAAGCUAGCAUGCUAGUAAAUGUUUGUCGUUCAUUGGCGGUGAGAACUCACGACGGACGCCUUGUUUGUUUGUUGCGGGAUUCAAGGCGAGUUCUCGAAUGCAGGCGCCACCGUCCGCGUGGCGGUUUCUCGGGAUUCAAGGGGAGUUAUGAAAUACAGGCGCCACCGACCGUGUGGCGGUUUCUCGGCGCUCAUAAAGGCCUCCCAGCUAGCACCCUUCUAUACAAAGCAAGCUGGAGGCUCCUGAGCCAUCUCAGUGAUGAGGAUGCUGAGGAAGAGUAGUCCCAAAUCAGGUUUUUUUGUAUGAAACCAGUGAGCAGGGUGACGCCGGUGAGAAGUCACACCAUCGAAGUCCCUGACUCAGAGCUGUGGUUCACCAUUAGCCAGACCAGGCAACUGCCUGGGGCAAGGCCACUAGGGGGCUCACUUAUUUAUCCAUUUUUACAUUUGGCACUUGUCCCUUGUAUUCUUGCACUCUCAUACACUGCUGUGACAAGAAAAUUUCCCUGUUGUGGAAUAAAGUUCUAUCAAUCAA